rnacentral:rRNA from 1 species
GAUGAACGCUGGCGGCGUGCCUAAUACAUGCAAGUCGAGCGAACGGACGAGAAGCUUGCUUCUCUGAUGUUAGCGGCGGACGGGUGAGUAACACGUGGAUAACCUACCUAUAAGACUGGGAUAACUUCGGGAAACCGGAGCUAAUACCGGAUAAUAUUUUGAACCGCAUGGUUCAAAAGUGAAAGACGGUCUUGCUGUCACUUAUAGAUGGAUCCGCGCUGCAUUAGCUAGUUGGUAAGGUAACGGCUUACCAAGGCAACGAUGCAUAGCCGACCUGAGAGGGUGAGCGGCCACACUGGAACUGGGACACGGUCCAGACUCCUACGGGAGGCAGCAGUAGGGAAUCUUCCGCAAUGGGCGAAAGCCUGACGGAGCAACGCCGCGUGAGUGAUGAAGGUCUUCGGACCGUAAAACUCUGUUAUUAGGGAAGAACAGAUGUGUAAGUAACUGUGCACAUCUUGACGGUACCUAAUCAGAAAGCCACGGCUAACUACGUG